UGCAAGUCGAACGAGAGAGAGGGAGCUUGCUUCCUUGAUCGAGUGGCGAACGGGUGAGUAACGCGUGAGGAACCUGCCUCAAAGAGGGGGACAACAGUUGGAAACGACUGCUAAUACCGCAUAAGCCCACGGCUCGGCAUCGAGCAGAGGGAAAAGGAGCAAUCCGCUUUGAGAUGGCCUCGCGUCCGAUUAGCUAGUUGGUGAGGUAAUGGCCCACCAAGGCGACGAUCGGUAGCCGGACUGAGAGGUUGAACGGCCACAUUGGGACUGAGACACGGCCCAGACUCCUACGGGAGGCAGCAGUGGGGAAUAUUGCACAAUGGGGGAAACCCUGAUGCAGCGACGCCGCGUGGAGGAAGAAGGUCCUCGGAUUGUAAACUCCUGUUGUUGAGGAAGAUAAUGACGGUACUCAACAAGGAAGUGACGGCUAACUACGUGCCAGCAGCCGCGGUAAAACGUAGGUCACAAGCGUUGUCCGGAAUUACUGGGUGUAAAGGGAGCGCAGGCGGGCGAUCAAGUUGGAAGUGAAAUCCAUGGGCUCAACCCAUGAACUGCUUUCAAAACUGAUUGUCUUGAGUAGUGCAGAGGUAGGCGGAAUUCCCGGUGUAGCGGUGGAAUGCGUAGAUAUCGGGAGGAACACCAGUGGCGAAGGCGGCCUACUGGGCACCAACUGACGCUGAGGCUCGAAAGUGUGGGUAGCAAACAGGAUUAGAUACCCUGGUAGUC
rnacentral:rRNA from 1 species